GACGAACGCUGGCGGCGUGCCUAAUACAUGCAAGUAGAACGCUGAAGAGAGGAGCUUACUCUUCUUGGAUGAGUUGCGAACGGGUGAGUAACGCGUAGGUAACCUGCCUUGUAGCGGGGGAUAACUAUUGGAAACGAUAGCUAAUACCGCAUAACAAUGGGUGACACAUGUCAUUUAUUUGAAAGGGGCAAUUGCUCCACUACAAGAUGGACCUGCGUUGUAUUAGCUAGUAGGUGAGGUAAUGGCUCACCUAGGCGACGAUACAUAGCCGACCUGAGAGGGUGAUCGGCCAGACUGGGACUGAGACACGGCCCAGACUCCUACGGGAGGCAGCAGUAGGGAAUCUUCGGCAAUGGGGGCAACCCUGACCGAGCAACGCCGCGUGAGUGAAGAAGGUUUUCGGAUCGUAAAGCUCUGUUGUAAGUCAAGAACGGGUGUGAGAGUGGAAAGUUCACACUGUGACGGUAGCUUACCAGAAAGGGACGGCUAACUACGUG
rnacentral:rRNA from 1 species